rnacentral:rRNA from 1 species
AUACGUAGGGUGCGAGCGUUAAUCGGGAUUACUGGGCGUAAAGCGUGCGCAGGCGGUUUUGUAAGCCAGACGUGAAAUCCCCGGGCUUAACCUGGGAACUGCGUUUGGAACUGCAAGACUAGAGUGUGUCAGAGGGAGGUGGAAUUCCGCGUGUAGCAGUGAAAUGCGUAGAUAUGUGGAGGAACACCGAUGGCGAAGGCAGCCUCCUGGGAUAACACUGACGCUCAUGCACGAAAGCGUGGGGAGCAAACAGGAUUAGAUACCCUGGUAGUCCACGCCCUAAACGAUGUCAACUGGCUGUUGGGAGAGAAAUCUUUCAGUAGCGAAGCUAACGCGUGAAGUUGACCGCCUGGGGAGUACGGCCGCAAGGCUAAA